rnacentral:lncRNA from 1 species
CAGAAAAGUAUUUCUAAAACAAAUGCUGACCAAAGUACUCCUGUUUUGCAGACAUAUCAUUUACUUCAUUCCAUCAUCUACUUUAAUGUUAAAUUUAGCUUUCCUAAUGUUUACAGAUUUCUCUCUCUAUGCGAAGAAAAACAAGUGAUUCUUGAUACCAUAUGUGUAUUUCAAGUUUAUAUGUAACGUAUCUCCUUCUGGCAAAUUUUGCUCUUGAGUUUUAAUAACUAUAUUGGGAAGAUAAUGAGCUAUUGAGUGAGGAAAAUUCCUUCACCUGCCCUUUUGAAAAUUAAUAGUUUAAUCCAAUGCUAAUUGAAGAUACUGAAAGGACAAAAGAAGGUACUUUUCACAAAUCGCUGAGAUUGAGUAGAUUGCCUCUAGCUUAUGAAAGUACUCAGGCUGAGACAGAGAGAAGGUGGUAUUCACAAGGGCUCAUUGCUUCCAACUCCCUUCUGAGACACAAGACAACACAGAAGCCAUCACAGAAGACUUUUGCAAAUAUUUUACAUUUUUGAAUACUAUUGUGUAUACUUUUCAUUUCAAACUGUAGUUUAAACAUGACUUACAGAAAAUUAUUUUCAUUCCUUUGCAAUUUAUAUAACCUUCUACUCUGAGUUGAUCCAUGCACCUGGAACUAGUUUUGUGAGUUUUGCAUAUUAUAUCUACAUGACUUUACCUUUGACUUGGACCAGUACAAAUCUAUUAUAAUGCUCCUGACCAAGGUUUUCUUCUUAAUUGAUAUUAAUGUAUUGAUGGUCUGCCCAUGUUUAUGGAGAAAGCCACUAAGUUCAAACCUCAGACUUUUCCCAUGACCACUACAUAUGCCGUCAUACUUGAUAACCACUUUAUUGAAAUAAAUACCUU